rnacentral:lncRNA from 1 species
AUCUUAACUGGAAGGUCCAUAACUGAAGACUUGGUUUAGUUUGGAAUCAGCAUUGCUAUCUGGUGGAAGAAUGCCAACGUUUGUAUGAUAAAUGAAAUAGAAUGAGAGAUUUGUUUACUAAAGGGUAUAAUGUCCCAUUGUUGAGUUUAAUAGAACUCUUCUGGUUUUAUUUUUCUUACUGUUCAUCCAUGCAUACAGUAUAUAUAGGAACAGCACUGAACAAUACUCAUGUACCAACUGCGGUCCUGGAUAUUGAUUUUAGAUGCAGGUAGAUAGAUGUUUAAUGGUAGGUGUGGAGUGAGCAAGGAAAAGUAACCAAGUAGGACAGGGAGAUAAAGACUAUCUCCAGUGCUUGCUAUGUCUGCAGUGCCUGAACACUUUAUAACACAUGUACAUUGGCUUUAGCAAGAAUACCUAUAAGAACGUGAACAGCAGAGCAUGGCAUCUAUUAUAUCUUUGAUUAUACAACUUGGAAAAGAGAUCCAGUGACCAAAUGAGAGGGUGAGAUGCCACCUUUGAUAUGACGUACUUAGAAGUGUACUUAGAUGCCUGCAUUUGUGAAAGAUAAUGGGGAAUGAAAAUUUUAUGUAUGGGUGCAUAUUUUAUAUACAGAAAGUAUUUCAAAUGUGAUUUAAAGCAUGCAACACAAAAAAGUAAACCAGAAGUGCAUAUGGAACGUGUCUACGGGGAAAAAAAUCUUAGUAGCUUCUCUUACUGGUUGGCAUUUAUUGUAUUAUAAUUAUAUGUAUAAUUAAGUCAAUAUUUUACAUGUUUAGAGUUUAUAAACAACUGAAAUGAGCCCAUGUUUAUUUUUAUUUUAUUAUGUGCCAAAUUAUAGGCACAUACUUAUGAUUUCUGUACGUGGUGGCCAAGGCAGGAAGGUCAGGAACUCAAAGCUGGCCUUGGCCAGAUCAAAAGGACCAAACCAACCUGAACUAAACAGAAAGACUCUAUCUUAGAAAACCAAUGAAAUUAAAAUAAUGAGCUAGUGUACUGUACAGAUGCCAAGCAGGUCGUAUGGUUGAAUCAGAAGGUUGGAGAGAGCCAUGCUUCCUUCGAAUGCAUAAUUACACCUGUCCUACCUAACUAGGUAACCCAUGUAUUAUCUAUCCCAGACUAGACAGUGCAGAGUAAGAUGUUGUGAAAGCGAUCAAUGAAACUAACGUAUUACUGCUCCUUUAUGUGGAGGUCAGCAAUACAUGGCAGUACCAGUGCUAUAGGGAUUUUCAUUUUGAGAAGUCUCCUAAUGUUCGGAGGAGAUGGUCCAUUCCUGUAGGUCUGCUUCUGCACAGUUGGACUGUUUCAGAUUAGGAACCUGUUAAAUUGCUCAGGAUUAUUUUCAAAGUAACAAUCCAGUGCCAGACCCAUUCUUUUCGGUGCAGUUGCCAUAGCGAUAGUUCACUUCUGUUCUCAGAGACCUGUGCCAUCCCUGGACCUGUGGGAUGUCAUACUUACCACCCACCUCUCAACAAAAGUACUCUGGGAAGACAAUGGCAUUCUCUAUUCUCUUUAGCCAUAGCUGUUCUUAUUAAACAUUUAAUGCUAACAAAAAGUAACUAUUGCCUUUGCAGAGCCAAUGGCUAUUCAGG